ACUAAGCGUACACGGUGGAUGCCCUGGCAGUCAGAGGCGAUGAAGGACGUGCUAAUCUGCGAAAAGCGUCGGUAAGGUGAUAUGAACCGUUANNNCCGGCGAUGUCCGAAUGGGGAAACCCAGUGCAAUUCGUUGCACUAUCGUUAACUGAAUACAUAGGUUAACGAGGCGAACCGGGGGAACUGAAACAUCUAAGUACCCCGAGGAAAAGAAAUCAACCGAGAUUCCCCCAGUAGCGGCGAGCGAACGGGGAGCAGCCCAGAGUCUGAAUCAGCUUGUGUGUUAGUGGAACGGUCUGGAAAGUCCGACGGUACAGGGUGAUAGUCCCGUACACCAAAAUGCACAGGCUGUGAACUCGAAGAGUAGGGCGGGACACGUGGUAUCCUGUCUGAAUAUGGGGGGACCAUCCUCCAAGGCUAAAUACUCCUGACUGACCGAUAGUGAACCAGUACCGUGAGGGAAAGGCGAAAAGAACCCCGGCGAGGGGAGUGAAAAAGAACCUGAAACCGUGUACGUACAAGCAGUGGGAGCACCUUCGGGUGUGACUGCGUACCUUUUGUAUAAUGGGUCAGCGACUUAUAUUCUGUAGCAAGGUUAACCGUAUAGGGGAGCCGCAGGGAAACCGAGUCUUAACUGGGCGUUAAGUUGCAGGGUAUAGACCCGAAACCCGGUGAUCUAGCCAUGGGCAGGUUGAAGGUUGGGUAACACUAACUGGAGGACCGAACCGACUAAUGUUGAAAAAUUAGCGGAUGACUUGUGGCUGGGGGUGAAAGGCCAAUCAAACCGGGAGAUAGCUGGUUCUCCCCGAAAGCUAUUUAGGUAGCGCCUCGUGAACUCAUCUUCGGGGGUAGAGCACUGUUUCGGCUAGGGGGUCAUCCCGACUUACCAACCCGAUGCAAACUACGAAUACCGAAGAAUGUUAUCACGGGAGACACACGGCGGGUGCUAACGUCCGUCGUGAAGAGGGAAACAACCCAGACCGCCAGCUAAGGUCCCAAAGUCAUGGUUAAGUGGGAAACGAUGUGGGAAGGCACAGACAGCCAGGAUGUUGGCUUAGAAGCAGCCAUCAUUUAAAGAAAGCGUAAUAGCUCACUGGUCGAGUCGGCCUGCGCGGAAGAUGUAACGGGGCUAAACCAUGCACCGAAGCUGCGGCAGCGACACUAUGUGUUGUUGGGUAGGGGAGCGUUCUGUAAGCCUGCGAAGGUGUGCUGUGAGGCAUGCUGGAGGUAUCAGAAGUGCGAAUGCUGACAUAAGUAACGAUAAAGCGGGUGAAAAGCCCGCUCGCCGGAAGACCAAGGGUUCCUGUCCAACGUUAAUCGGGGCAGGGUGAGUCGACCCCUAAGGCGAGGCCGAAAGGCGUAGUCGAUGGGAAACAGGUUAAUAUUCCUGUACUUGGUGUUACUGCGAAGGGGGGACGGAGAAGGCUAUGUUAGCCGGGCGACGGUUGUCCCGGUUUAAGCAUGUAGGCUGGUUGUCCAGGCAAAUCCGGAUAAUCAAGGCUGAGGUGUGAUGACGAGGCACUACGGUGCUGAAGUAACAAAUGCCCUGCUUCCAGGAAAAGCCUCUAAGCAUCAGGUAACAUUAAAUCGUACCCCAAACCGACACAGGUGGUCAGGUAGAGAAUACCAAGGCGCUUGAGAGAACUCGGGUGAAGGAACUAGGCAAAAUGGUGCCGUAACUUCGGGAGAAGGCACGCUGGUGUGUAGGUGAAGUCCCUGCGGAUGGAGCUGAGACCAGUCGAAGAUACCAGCUGGCUGCAACUGUUUAUUAAAAACACAGCACUGUGCAAACACGAAAGUGGACGUAUACGGUGUGACGCCUGCCCGGUGCCGGAAGGUUAAUUGAUGGGGUUAUCCGUAAGGAGAAGCUCUUGAUCGAAGCCCCGGUAAACGGCGGCCGUAACUAUAACGGUCCUAAGGUAGCGAAAUUCCUUGUCGGGUAAGUUCCGACCUGCACGAAUGGCGUAAUGAUGGCCAGGCUGUCUCCACCCGAGACUCAGUGAAAUUGAACUCGCUGUGAAGAUGCAGUGUACCCGCGGCAAGACGGAAAGACCCCGUGAACCUUUACUAUAGCUUGACACUGAACAUUGAGCCUUGAUGUGUAGGAUAGGUGGGAGGCUUUGAAGCGUGGACGCCAGUCUGCGUGGAGCCAACCUUGAAAUACCACCCUUUAAUGUUUGAUGUUCUAACGUUGGCCCCUUACCGGGGUUGCGGACAGUGUCUGGUGGGUAGUUUGACUGGGGCGGUCUCCUCCCAAAGCGUAACGGAGGAGCACGAAGGUUAGCUAAUCCUGGUCGGACAUCAGGAGGUUAGUGCAAUGGCAUAAGCUAGCUUGACUGCGAGCGUGACGGCGCGAGCAGGUGCGAAAGCAGGUCAUAGUGAUCCGGUGGUUCUGAAUGGAAGGGCCAUCGCUCAACGGAUAAAAGGUACUCCGGGGAUAACAGGCUGAUACCGCCCAAGAGUUCAUAUCGACGGCGGUGUUUGGCACCUCGAUGUCGGCUCAUCACAUCCUGGGGCUGAAGUAGGUCCCAAGGGUAUGGCUGUUCGCCAUUUAAAGUGGUACGCGAGCUGGGUUUAGAACGUCGUGAGACAGUUCGGUCCCUAUCUGCCGUGGGCGCUGGAGAAUUGAGGGGGGCUGCUCCUAGUACGAGAGGACCGGAGUGGACGCAUCACUGGUGUUCGGGUUGUCAUGCCAAUGGCACUGCCCGGUAGCUAAAUGCGGAAGAGAUAAGUGCUGAAAGCAUCUAAGCACGAAACUUGCCCCGAGAUGAGUUCUCCCUGAGACUUUAAGUCUCCUGAAGGAACGUUAAAGACGAUGACGUUGAUAGGCCGGGUGUGUAAGCGCAGCGAUGCGUUGAGCUAACCGGUACUAAUGAACCGUGAGGCUUAACC
rnacentral:rRNA from 1 species